rnacentral:rRNA from 1 species
UACGAAGGGGGCUAGCGUUGUUCGGAAUUACUGGGCGUAAAGCACACGUAGGCGGGCGAUUAAGUCAGGGGUGAAAUCCCGGAGCUCAACUCCGGAACUGCCUUUGAUACUGGUCGUCUAGAGAUCGGAAGAGGUGAGUGGAAUUCCCAGUGUAGAGGUGAAAUUCGUAGAUAUUGGGAAGAACACCAGUGGCGAAGGCGGCUCACUGGUCCGAUACUGACGCUGAGGUGCGAAAGCGUGGGGAGCAAACAGG